rnacentral:rRNA from 1 species
UACGUAGGGUGCGAGCGUUGUCCGGAUUUAUUGGGCGUAAAGGGCUCGUAGGCGGCCUGUCGCGUCGGGAGUGAAAGCCCACUGCUUAACGGUGGGUCUGCUUUCGGUACGGGCGGGCUAGAGUAUGGCAGGGGAGACUGGAAUUCCUGGUGUAGCGGUGGAAUGCGCAGAUAUCAGGAGGAACACCGGUGGCGAAGGCGGGUCUCUGGGCCAUUACUGACGCUGAGGAGCGAAAGCGUGGGUAGCAAACAGG